GUAGGGAAGCGCUGUUCAGCCCGCCGCUCAGAGAGCAGCCUGUGUGCCACCGGAGCUGUGCCUCACGGUCCCCGCUGUGCAGUGCACGUCUCGGAGUCAAGGGGCUCAGGAUGCCUUUGGGCUGCUGUCCCGAGUGUAAGCCUAGCACCAGAAAUCAUCCUGUGGUCAUGCAAACAGCUGUGUCAGUAUAAAAGCAUGACAGUGAGGAGUGGUGGAAGACAAGAAGAGAAGUACUGCUGCCUAGUACUUUUUGAUUUCCCCCUGCUCUUCACCCCAGUGCUCUGCCACCCCUCACCUGCAGUGCUGGGGUGCACACAGGGGCUGCAGCACCUCCAGAUGAUUAAGGUAAGUGUGACUGUGUCGUGCAUGUCCUGCAGCCAGCACAAGGCUGCUGUGCUUCUGUUCAGGAUGUCCUCCCAAAAUACAUUUGGUACUUACUGAACCUAAUAUGGGGGGAAAAAAAUUGGGGAAGAAUGAGAAGGUAGAGGCCUAGGAGAGCUGGGCUAGAUCACAAAGCAUAACUGUAACUCAAAGCAGGACCCAAGAUACUGCAGAAGUGUUGGUGUCUAAUAACUUCAGCAUCACACAAUUGUUGUUGUGUGUCUUCAGGAUCCCAGUUUCAGUAUGUUUCUCACUUCUAUCAUGCUCUGCAGUGCCGAUGUAGUGCAUCCAGUGCUGCUCUCUGAUCCUGUAAUCAGGUAUGUUGCUUAUAUGUAGUAAAUCCCACACUUCUGGGAUACUGAAUGUACUGUGUAUUCACCAGGCAACCACAUCCCAUUCAUAGAAUAAGAUCAGUGCUUCCUGGUCUGGUUUCCUGCAAACAGAUUGUACAAUAGGUCAGCACAGGUCCUGGGGAUAUGUCCAGGUUUUCCACAUGUGUAGCCUUCCUAUCCAAGCUGCAGUACAGACAAUCCUCAAACAUCUGUGCAGGAAAAUUUUCUGGGCAGGAAAAUAUAUCUAGCAAAUCUGGACGGAGCAUAGCACCAAGUCAGAGCCUCCAACACAUCAUGAAGCACUGGACCAAGCUCCCAAAGAGAAAUGUGAGGAAUCUUUGCACUGGCAUUUUUGAGACUAGAAAAAUAUCUGCCAUGGUGAAGUCAGCCUAAACUAGACCCUUCACAGCCUUAUUUCUUGUAAGAAGCUACGAGUUUGACUCUCUGCAGCAUAAAGAAUGGCAAGCACAGUCUGUUCUCUGCUGUGCAACCUGCUCUCUCCUUCUCCAGCCUCUUGCUGGAAUCAGUGUGAAACCCAGUGCACACACUUGGGGCUGGACACAGAAAAGGGAGAUUUGUAUGCAAUGAGUCUGUGUAUUCAUGCAUGAGAGAAACUGUGGCAGCAAUGGUGUUCCCUCAUAGUAAUGCAGAGCAAGACGGAAAUGGGAUGAAGUUUUUUUCAGGAUUAAAAUAAGCAGAACAAGAGCCAAUUGUUGUUUUGGGGAAGAGGAAAGCAGUUGAUGUCAAAAUGUUUCACCGACUUGGCAAAAAUGCCAAGCUGGCCCUGCCUGCAGAAUACAAGGACUUCAAAGGGCUUAUCUUGAAUAAGAAUUGAGGGAGCCAGAUCACUGUUUCCUACAUGAAUUCAGCUGAGGUUAAAUGAUAUGCAAGGCUAUAUCCCAAGGGUGUGUUUUUCUGCUGAUGCCAGCCAAGUUGCUGACAUCUCUACCUGCAGGUUUGUGGGAUCAGUCUUGCUUUAGCUGCCUACAACCAGAGGGAGCUCAGUUCUGACAUAGCACCAGGAAGAGUGGGUCACACUCUCACAACUUGUCACUUCAGGAGCGCUGGUCCACAAUGGGAACACUGAAACAGAUGGUGAGGCCCUUGCUCCAGCGGUGAGCCAGUACUCAGGAGGGGCGUGUGGUUCUUAAACAGGAUGCAGGCUGAAUAACCCUCCAUUCCUGAAGAGGGUGGUCCCCAAAGGUCAGGGCUGCCUUCAAUGGUGUGGCAGCAUGAGAGGAAACUGCCUCAGAGGGUGCUUUCAUAAUGCUCAGACUAUGAAUAAAUUCAGCCUGUUGUACUCUGGGUUCCCAAGUGUUACUCAUUAAAAAUGUGAAUAAGGAGAAUAAGGUUAGGAAAAGAACAAUUCUCCAGCUAAACUUUCCUUACAGAAUGAACAGGGGUCCUCCUCCCCCCCACCCUUUGUCUGAUUUCAAAGAGCUUUGCAUCCAGUGCAGGAGUUCUCUUUGCUGCCUGGGAGGAACAUAUGGAUUGUAGAUGACACAAGCCUGGAAGUGCUUAGCUCACUGAGUAACAGAAUACCUGGGGUUGGAAGGGGCCUCUUGAUGUGAUCUAGUGCAAACCUCUGCUUAAGCAGGGCCACCUACAGCAGGUUUCUCAGGACCACGUCCUGUCAGAUUUUGCAAAUCCCCACUUAUGGAGGCUUCGCAGCCUCUCUGGGCAACUGAACAGACAGGCAAUGACCAAAGACCUGAUGUCAGUACAGAUCAUUUUGACACUUCUUACCUUUAUGGUAAAUUAUAAAAGUAUAACCUGAAUAAACGUACUUGAUAUUCAUUCAUUGACUCUGGUUCUGGUGAGACUGGGUAUAAAAUUAUGUGGACCAAGGCUGAUCCAUACUUAACCCAGUUGCAUAAUUCUGGGAAAAACGCAGUCAAAGAAACAGUUAGGUUCUGCAUGGGAUUAACAUACUGUGGUCCCAUGGGAACUCUCCCAGUUCAUGACAGGAGCAGCCAUUCCUCCAGUCAUUGCUGUGCUAAUUUAGUGGAAGGAGGACCAAGGGUCUCUGAACCUGUUAAAACAAUAAAUCCAGAAAAACAAUGAAAGUUUUCCAUCCUUUAAAACAGAGUUUUCUAAGAAUAUUUGUCCCUUAAAUUCCAGAAGAUGAGGGAACAGAUAGGGUCACGCUUUCUGUUCUCAUGCUUCAG